UGGUGGAGCGAUCUGUCUGGUUAAUUCCGAUAACGAACGAGACUCUGGCCUAUUAAAUAGUUCGCCGAUUCCGAUCUGUCGGCGUUAACUUCUUAGAGGGACAAGUGGCUUUUAGCCACGCGAGAUUGAGCAAUAACA
rnacentral:rRNA from 1 species